UGGAGACAGGCGGAUUCGAACCGCCGACCUCCUGCGUGCAAAGCAGGCGCUCUUCCAUCUGAGCUAUGCCCCC
rnacentral:tRNA from 1 species